GGUGAAGAUAGUGAAUGUCACCUAUGAGAAAAUCUCAGAAACCUCCUAUGCUGUGGUCUUUACAUUUAACGUGAUUAACAUCAGCAUGCCAGAGGACCCUGUGUCUAGAGGCAACACCAGCCAGAAAGUACAGGAUACCAUCAAUAAUGCGCUGAACACUCUUCUGAAUGAACCCGGAAGUCCAACUUUACAAGCCAAGACCUCCAACUUCACG